GGGCGAUUGGUGAAAUGGUAUCACAAGGGCCUCCAAAUCCCUUAUUGUUGGUUCGAUUCCAACAUCGCCCG
rnacentral:tRNA from 1 species